rnacentral:rRNA from 1 species
AUAUCAGUAAGCGGAGGAAAAGAAACUAACAAGGAUUCCCUCAGUAACUGCGAGUGAAGCGGGAAAUGCUCAGACUGAAAAUCCUCGGAAUUGUAGUCUGUAGAAGCAUAGUCAUCUGGUACACAGCAAAAGAAAGUCUCCUGGAAUGGAGUGCCGAGGAGGGUGAGAGCCCCGUUCAUCUUUUGGUGUGUGUUGGAGAAAUACGACUAGCUUUCAACGAGUCGAGUUGUUUGGGAUUGCAGCUCUAAUUGGGUGGUAAGUUCCAUCUAAAGCUAAAUAUUGGUGGGAGACCGAUAGCGCACAAGUA